AAUGGAAGGUGCCAUUGCGUCCGAGAACCAAAACAAAGCCAGCCCAAAGCCACGGAGCACACCCCAUUCAAUUAAGGACAUCGACAGUGCCGCCAAGGAUUAAAAAUUCCAUUUACGGAGCAAGCGAAGAGGCGUAAAAAAACAAUUUAUCGUCACGCACUUCGGAACUUUUAAUCAAAUACUGGGACUUCAAUCAGGAACAAUUGGGUUUUAAUUGGUUCGCUGUCAUAUAAGCAUUAAAUACACUGUAGAAUCAAUUAAACACGCAGAUUUUGAUCUUUUUAAAGCGACGAACAUUAAUAAAGUAUAUUGCUAU
ensembl:ncRNA lncRNA:CR45684 long non-coding RNA:CR45684